UACAGAGGGGGCAAGCGUUGUUCGGAAUUACUGGGCGUAAAGGGCGCGUAGGCGGCCUUCUAAGUCGAACGUGAAAUCCCCGAGCUCAACUCGGGAACUGCGUCCGAUACUGGCGGGCUUGAAUCCGGGAGAGGGAUGCGGAAUUCCAGGUGUAGCGGUGAAAUGCGUAGAUAUCAAGAGGAACACCAGUGGCGAAAGCACUCUGCUGGGCCGACACUGACACUGAGAGACGAAAGCUAGGGGAGCGAACAGG
rnacentral:rRNA from 1 species